UUAUCAAUUUCCUCAUUUGAUAAGAAUUUGCAGUGUUGAGUCUCCCUGUCAAAACACUUUUCUUCAAAUAAUCAUUAGUAUCCAGUAAGUUCUUGUUUAUUAAAUAAAAGGUAUCCAUAAAUCUAUGUUCUCCAUACGGAUACAACAAAACACUGUAUGGAAUCCGAACCUCGCAAACUUAGGUUCGGGAAACUUUAAAGAUUUCAGGGGAAGGGAAGGUUUCCCCUCCCCCGAACCCCCUCCCCUUCCUAUCUUUUAUAGGAUAUUCUUACCCCCCCUUCGGCCUACGGCCUCGUCCCCCUCAGGGGGAAUACUUACGCCUUACCAUGGCGUUACUCUACCGCUGAGUUAAAAGGCUUAUAGGAGGAAGCUUCCUAUACUCUGAAAUCCGGUUUCCCGGAUUUUCAGCUUUAAGGAAAGGGAGGAAAGGAAACAGAACAACAGGAGAAGUAUUCGGACAAUUGCCCGGAUACUGGUUUAUUCCUAAGUUCGGGAUAAGAAAUCUUUAGUUUUUUUCCAUACAGUAUCCGGUGA
rnacentral:lncRNA from 1 species